rnacentral:rRNA from 1 species
UACAGAGGUCCCAAGCGUUGUUCGGAUUCACUGGGCGUAAAGGGUGCGUAGGCGGACUUUUAAGUGGGAUGUGAAAUACCCGGGCUUAACCUGGGUGCUGCAUUCCAAACUGGGAGUCUAGAGUGCAGGAGGGGAAAGUGGAAUUCCUAGUGUAGCGGUGAAAUGCGUAGAGAUUAGGAAGAACACCGGUGGCGAAGGCGACUUUCUGGACUGUAACUGACGCUGAGGCUCGAAAGCGUGGGGAGCGAACAGG